UACGUAGGGGGCUAGCGUUGUCCGGAAUCAUUGGGCGUAAAGCGCGUGUAGGCGGUUCGGUAAGUCUGCUGUGAAAGUCGGGGGCUCAACCCUCGAAUGCCGGUGGAUACUGUCGGACUAGAGUGCGGAAGAGGCGAGUGGAAUUCCUGGUGUAGCGGUGAAAUGCGCAGAUAUCAGGAGGAACACCAAUUGCGAAGGCAGCUCGCUGGGACGUUACUGACGCUGAGACGCGAAAAGCGUGGGGGAGCAAACAGG
rnacentral:rRNA from 1 species